AAAGCGUGCGCAGGCGGUUUUGUAAGUCUGUCGUGAAAGCCCCGGGCUCAACCUGGGAAUUGCGAUGGAGACUGCAAGGCUUGAAUCUGGCAGAGGGGGGUAGAAUUCCACGUGUAGCAGUGAAAUGCGUAGAGAUGUGGAGGAACACCGAUGGCGAAGGCAGCCCCCUGGGUCAAGAUUGACGCUCAUGCACGAAAGCGUGGGGAGCAAACAGGAUUAGAUACCCUGGU
rnacentral:rRNA from 1 species